rnacentral:rRNA from 1 species
GACGAACGCUGGCGGCGUGCUUAACACAUGCAAGUCGAACGGAAAGGCCCUGCUUUUGUGGGGUGCUCAAGUGGCGAACGGGUGAGUAACACGUGAGUAACCUGCCCUUGACUUUGGGAUAACUUCAGGAAACUGGGGCUAAUACCGGAUAGGAGCUCCUGCUGCAUGGUGGGGGUUGGAAAGUUUCGGCGGUUGGGGAUGGACUCGCGGCUUAUCAGCUUGUUGGUGGGGUAGUGGCUUACCAAGGCUUUGACGGGUAGCCGGCCCGAGAGGGUGACCGGCCACAUUGGGACUGAGAUACGGCCCAGACUCCUACGGGAGGCAGCAGUGGGGAAUAUUGCACAAUGGGCGGAAGCCUGAUGCAGCAACGCCGCGUGCGGGAUGACGGCCUUCGGGUUGUAAACCGCUUUCGCCUGUGACGAAGCGUGAGUGACGGUAAUGGGUAAAGAAGCACCGGCUAACUACGUG